CCCCCGGGAGGUCGCUUAUUUAGGACGCAGGGGCGGGCAGGAGCGGCAGGGGUGCGCUGAUGGCUGCUCUGGGGGACGAGGUGCUGGACGCUUACAUGUACCCGGCGUGCGCCCUCUACUCGUACCCGUACCCCUACCCCUACCCGGCCGCCGCCAAGGGCAAGGGAGCGGCGGGCGGGGGAGGCUGGCGGCACCGGGACGGCGGCUACCCUCCCGUUUCCUCCUCCUCUGACGGCGCGGCCUCGUCGUCUUUCCCGGGCUACGGGCAGCUAGCGGCCGCCGAGUACUUCCACAGCUACCAGCGGGCGCAGCUCAUGGCCCUCCUGUCGCAGGUGGGCCCCGGCCUCACCCCGCGGCCCGGCCGCGCCAGCAUUCGGGACGUGGCUGUGCAGGUGAACCCGCGCCGCGACGUCUCCGUGCAGUGCUCGCUGGGGCGGCGUACGCUGCUGCGCAGGGCCCGCGAGCCCGGCCCUGAGCCCGAGGGCGCGGCGGGCGCGGGCGGCAGCUGCCCGGCCUCCCCGGAGCUGGCCCGCCGGGGCCCCGAGCAGGGCAGCCCGCCGAGCGGCGCCCCGCGGCCCGUGCGCUUCCCGCGCACCGUGGCGGUGUACUCGCCCGUGGCUUCCCGCCGCCUUUCCACCCUCCUGGAAGGGGCCGAGACUGCGGCGGCCGAGCAGAGGCCCGGGGCGCCGGACGGAGAGCGAGGGCCGCCAGCUGCGAGGACCCGAGGCCCCGAGGAGGGAGAGGGGUCGGCGAGGAAGGAUCCCCAACGGCCGCAGUCCGAGGAGGACGAGGCCCAGGCCGGCGUACCGGCGAGCAGGGAGCAGCCCCCGCCGGUGGCCGGCGCCCCGGACGCCGCGGGCGAGAGGUGGUCGCCGCGGAGCCCCCAGCCGGGCAAGGAGCGCCUGCGCUUCCAGUUCUUAGAACAGAAAUAUGGCUACUAUCACUGCAAGGACUGCAACAUCCGAUGGGAAAGUGCCUACGUGUGGUGUGUACAGGGCACUAACAAGGUUUACUACAAGCAGUUUUGCAGAACAUGUCAGAAGUCUUAUAACCCUUACCGAGUGGAGGAUAUCACCUGUCAAAAUUGUAAACAGACUAGAUGCUCCUGCCCAGUAAAAGUUCGCCACGUGGACCCCAAAAGGCCCCACCGUCAAGAUCUGUGUGGGAGAUGCAAAGGCAAACGCUUAUCCUGUGACAGCACUUUCAGUUUCAAAUAUAUCAUUUAAAUGAAUGUGAAAAAACCAAAACCCUGGUCCCGCCGAACGUGUGCUAGUGGAGCAGACAAUGUAGGUUAUGCUGGUGGAUGAGCAGUUCUCAUAGACCAAAAGGAGGUACACUCACUCUGGCUUUGGUGAGUCUGUUCCAAGAAAAUGUCUGACGAUUUCCUAAAUUUAAGAUGAUCUGUUGCUGCUACUGCGAUCUUUAAGGUCUGGGAUCUUUUAAGAUCGCUGGAUAUCUGCUGUCAGAUUUAUGAACAGGUCCUGAAAUAGUACAUCAUUUCAAAAACCAAUAAUGCUUAACUGGGUUGUGGGGGGGAAAGAUUCACUAUAAGCGACUUUUCACUUCAUUGCUCCUGCAAGGAAAUAUGUAUGUAUGUAUUUUAAUUUCCUAGAAUCAGUUACUAAUGCCUAGUACAACUGAAUAUUUACCUCUGCUUCAUUUUUAAUUGUGUUUACUUGAUUGAUAAGUUUACAGUAGGCUUGGAACAGAAGCAGCAAUUGAAAAUGCAAUUUGUAUAACCUUCGGCAGAGCUCCAGUUCCUAGAAAUAAAUAACACUGUGUUAAAUUUAGGUGUUAUUUUCCAUAUUUGACUAGACAACAUAUUUCAAAUAAAAAUUUAUAAGUAAAUAAUUGUUAAAAUUUGUUCUGAGCUUAAUUUUUCUGCAGUAAGCAAGUUAAUAUGGUAUGAAGUUGAUGAAAGACAGAUGAAAGAUGCUCUGAAGACUGGGAUUAAAAUAAAAAUUUAAAGAUUAUUGGUUACAUAAUUCAUUUUUAGUGUGAAGCACAUUUUCACAUUAGACAAACAGAAUUUUUCAGCAGGCAAUAAAUAGAAUGCUUUAAAAAGAAUUCACUAGAACUUAAAACUUUAACUUCAUAACGAGAAGAAUUUACAAGUGCAUAUACUCUUGCCACACUGAGAUGUACAUCUCACUGCGUUUAUCAACAAGUGCUUGAUAAAGCAAAAAGUAAAACUCUGGAUAACCUCUCACCUAAAAAGUAAGAAUAGUUUGUCUUUAAAAUGAGUUCCUUUUUUUUUUUAAGAAAGCAAAUUUGUAAUCUCACUGAAACAAGACAAAUUAACAAAUGCACUUGGAUUCUUAAAAUUAAGAAAUAUAAAAGGAGACAUGUUAGAGAUGUGUAAAAAGGCAGCGCUAGUUGUACAGAUUAAUUAGAAAACCUCAUUGUCUUUGUAGGACUGAAACAUUUCAUGGAUUAGGGCUAUGCAAAACUGAAGCACACACUACUCUUAAAGCAGUCCAUGACAAAACAUUGCUAGGUCACAAAUGGCAAAUGAAAACCAGUUUGUCUGACAUGGAUAAGUAGUCUAUAAAUUAAGACAGGUCACUUACUGCUAGAAUUUCCAUUUGCUAAGCAAGAAGGUGAUCGGGUCACAAAAAAUACAAAGGAAGAAAAAGACCAAGAAUUAGUGUAACAAAUCAUUUUAACUAGGGUCACAGAUGUCCCAGGCAAACUGAAGAACAUUUAAAAUUACACCCAAAAGAAAAAUUUAUGAUGCUGUUUCCAGAAUAAAACUUUUUAGACAUUUACUGUAACAAUCCAGGGUGUUUUUCACUCUUUGCCAAAUAACAGCUAAAUUACAUUUAGGCUAUAGUUUAUUUCUUGUGCAAAAGCUACAAAGAAUAAAACUAGUGGGAUAUUGGGAAAGUUGGCUACUGAAAGUGGUCUUCUAUCUGGGUUUUUAUAGCCUUUCCAAAAAAAAAAAAAAAGCCAAAUAAAUUUCCGUUAGUAAAGUGGAAAACUUCUGAUUACAAAAUAUGAAAUGAUUUGCUCUUCUCAGAAAAGAACUGGUUUAUAAUUUUAUGUAUUUGCCCAUGAGAAGAUUCUCUCUGGCGUGGCUCAUUCUGGGUUGCCUACCCUUUGCUGUCUAAGUCCUAAGUUGCCAUAAUUAGUGCUGAAUCGGAAGGUAAAAUAUUGAGAGCAGUUGUGUGUUUUAAAUUGCAUUGCAAAUGUAAUUUAGUAAACCUCAGAAGUUCAACCCAACUAGGUUUGAAUCAAACGAGAUAACGUAAAAUACACCGUGAAACAUCCAGGUUCUGGAAUAUUUAAAAAUUAUUACAUUAAAAUAUCUACAGCAACUUAGACCUAGUCUCAUUAAUGGAGAAGAAUGACUUCUAAUUAAAACAGCAAUCGCCAGAAUGUGAAUACUGCUUCUAAAAGUCCUUCUUGAAAUCUGCUUUUCUAAAUAGUUUCCUCUGAAGCACUGUUUAUAUAACAUUUAUUCCUAUCAAUUUAGAAGGGAUUUGCUAAGCAAAGGUGAACUUCAGCUCCGUACUGCUUACCAUAAAUUAUGUAGAUGGUCAUCCUGUGAAUGUUAGUUGAGCACAAUCCAAUGUCAAACAUAUUAGCAUAUCUAAAUUUCUGAGGUUUUACUUCAUACAGUUUUAUAUGGAAACUAACAACAAUUUGAGCUUUUAAAUAUUUUUUUUCACUUCCAUUAGCAUAAAUAAAAACUGACUCUACACACGUAUUAUCCAGAGCAUCUACUUUGGGGUGUAAUGGAAAAGAAAAUCACUGAUAAAGUUUACGAUCACAACUGUAGGAAAUAACACAGACGUAAUUAAUUUCAUAGCUCUGAAUUACUAGAAAUCACGCUAAAUAUGUUAACACUGUACAUUUAAAAACAUUGCUUUAGUGUACUGAAAUUUGCAUAUACAGUCUUCAUUUACUUUUAAUAUGUAUUGAUUGCUUAUUAUGCAAAAGACUAUACUGGUAUACAGCAAAAGACAAUACAUAAUGUGCAAAAAGGGACCCCUGCUCUCAAGGAGCUGAAUGUGAGAGGAGACCUAAGAUAUCAGUGGAAGUCUUCAAUGUACAGAGUUUUCAGUUUUCACUUAGUAGAAAACCUCAAGCUAUAUUAAUUGACACAGACUCCUGGAGAUGGAACUCAUUUUCUUCAAGGUAGAAGGGGUAUAAGAAAUCACUUAGUCUAACCACCUAAUUUAUAUAUGAGAAAAGCAGUUUGUUACUUGCUUAAGCCAUAGUGGCAAAGACAGAAUUACAACCAAAGGAUCUAAUUCUAGUCUGGGGUUAAUUUCUUAUCUUGCCUCGUUUCUUUCUUUACACAGAUUAUUUGACAAUUUCUUUAUGACAGAGCAGGAUUUGGAGUCAGCCUUCCAAGGGGACACGGGUUCGAGCCCUGGUCUGGGAAGAUCCCACAUGCCGCGAAGCAACUAAGCCUGUGCGCCACAACUACUGAGCCUGCGCUCUAGAGCCCGCGAGCCACAACUACUGAGCCCACGUGCCACAACUACUGUAGCCCGUGCACCUAGACCCCAUGCUCCGCAACAAGAGAAGCCACCGCAAUGAGAAGCCUGCUGGCCGCAACUAGAGAAGAGCCUAUGUGCAGCAACAAAGACCCAAAACAGCCAAAAAUACUAAAUAAAUAAAUUAAUUAAUUAAAAAAAUAAAUAAAACAACAGUCUUAAAAAGUGAACUUGAAUUUCUAGGACUGGUUGUAGACAUAGACUUUCAUCUCCAUUUGAGCCGAAUCAUUUGUAUGCAGCAAACCCAAGCAGAGGAUACUGUGUAUGUGGCUACAUGCACACGCUGGGGACGGUUUACUAAUGGAAACACAAUCAGCUGUCUUCUAUUCCAGGGCCUUGUGGCGCUCCAUUUCAGUAAAGAAUAUUCAUUUUGUAGAUUUUAUGGGAAAUCUUCACAACCUAUACCUGACCUUUGUCUAAUGUAAGAUGGGGAAAUGAAAGAUGGGCUUCCUGUCCUGUCAAUUUAAUAAAGGCAACUUAGAAAGAAUUAACCAGGUCCGUUUGCUUAUCGGAAGUGUAAUUCUCAGAAGACUUGUGUCACUUUUAAUUAGUGAAACAGAAACUAAAAUACAUUUUAAAUCUUGUUUUUGUUUCUUUUUCUUCCUUUUUGGACAGCAAUAAAUGACAAACAUAUUAUCUCCAAUGAAUAUUGAAUACAGAAGCCAAAUGUGGAUUUUCCUUUUCCAGGGGCUGGUCCUAAAGAUGGAUAUUUAUUUAAGGGUAGUUCCACAAGGCUUUAUAGAAACUACGGAGCAAUUCCUAUGGAAGAGAGG